GGUAGCGUGUCUCAGAUCGUCCACUACGCAGCGGCAUGUAUGCUGGGAGUAACAUCGUCGACGCAGCACCGGCAACUUGGAGAGCGUCGUGCCAUUGAAAAGUGGUGAGGCCGUGACCCACAGCAGUGUCCACAUGAUGGCAGGGAACCUGUGGCCCUGGCUACAGCAGCACAGCGUGUAAUCUGGAUGUCACGUCAGGUGAACGAUCUUAUCUGGCCUGAAGUCCUAUGGCGGCAAUGCACGACCGCAUUGGGGAGGCUGAGGUUCAGGGCAAGAGCCUUUAUGGAAAGGGCAGUAACAGGCACAAA